UACGUAGGUGGCGAGCGUUAUCCGGAAUUAUUGGGCGUAAAGAGCGCGCAGGUGGUUGAUUAAGUCUGAUGUGAAAGCCCACGGCUUAACCGUGGAGGGUCAUUGGAAACUGGUCGACUUGAGUGCAGAAGAGGGAAGUGGAAUUCCAUGUGUAGCGGUGAAAUGCGUAGAGAUAUGGAGGAACACCAGUGGCGAAGGCGGCUUCCUGGUCUGUAACUGACACUGAGGCGCGAAAGCGUGGGGAGCAAACAGGAUUAGAUACCCCCGUA
rnacentral:rRNA from 1 species